rnacentral:rRNA from 1 species
CACGUAGGGUGCGAGCGUUGUCCGGAAUUAUUGGGCGUAAAGAGCUCGUAGGCGGUGUGUCGCGUCGGCCGUGAAAACCUGCAGCUUAACUGUGGGCUUGCGGUCGAUACGGGCAUCACUGGAGUUCGGCAGGGGAGACUGGAAUUCCUGGUGUAGCGGUGAAAUGCGCAGAUAUCAGGAGGAACACCGGUGGUGUAGACGGCUCUCUGGACCGUAACUGACGCUGAGACACGAAAGCGUGGGGAGCAAACAGG